ensembl:lncRNA
GUCUUAUCACAAGAUGUCUCAUCACAUCAUGAUCACUGCGGUGGCUGUUUCUACACCCUGCACUAAUGGAAUGUGAUCUGCAGAUCGCUCGUAAUCCUAUGCUAAUGUACACAUCUAAAGCAGUGAAUCCAGGCUUGCAGGAUAUUAUUCUUUUUUUGAGGACAGCGGGAUUAGUGAAGAGACAGAAUAGCUCAGAUUGACUGGGUCAAGUCUUUCAGAACCCACAUUUUAACAGGCAUCUAGCAGCCUAAAAAUGUGAUAUCCUAUAUAUAUAUAUAGGCACUAAGCACUAAUAAUAAUAUAUAUAGGCUAAUAAGCACUAAUAAUAUAUAUAUAUUAUUAGUGCUUAUUGCAUACAGGCAUUUAGAUAAAGGAAUAGAAACAAAUCCAUCGAUGAAGAAACAAACUCAUCUAUUUCAUUUUUGGGUGAACUAUUCCAUAAGUAAAAUGAAUGCAUGAGAGUGCAAGACCAAUUUCAACAUAUUUCUUCAUUAUUUCACCAGGGUUUGAAAGGGUCUACAGGAGACCAGGGACAUGAGGGUCCAGCAGGAUCUAAAGGUGAUCGAGGGACGGUUGGUGCAUCUGGUCCGCCGGGAGAUACUGGAGUCGGAUUCCCUGGUCCAAAGGUAAACUUCUCAGGACUUUUGAAAGAAUAAUACUUUUAAUUAGAAAGGAUACAUUGAAUUGAUCAUAAGUGACAGUAAAGAUAUAUAUCAUGUUACAAAAGAUUUCUAUUUCAAAUAAAUGCUGUUCUUUUGAACUUUAUAUUCAUCAAAGAAUCCUGAAAAAAAUUGAAUUUCUGAAUGAUCAUGUGACACAGAAGACUAGAGUACCGUGCUGAAAAUUCAGCUUUAAAUCAGUAUGAGAGACAGUAUGAUAAUAUAAACAUAAAAAAAAAAAACUAUCAGUUAUAUACAAUCCUAGAUCAACAUUUUAUUACAUGGAUGUUGCUUUUUGCCUUGAGAUCCCUUAAAACUAUUUGCUGUGUUGUUCUAGGGAGACAGAGGAAACCAAGGACGAACAGGUCUUCCUGGUCCGGUCAGCACAGGUCAGCCAGGACAACCUGUGAGUAACAACAGCUUAUAUGACUUUAAAACAUGCAUCUAUAGAUUAUAAUGACUUAAUGAUACAUGCAUCAAUGAAGGGUCCUCCAGGUUUAUCAGGAGCACAGGGGAACCCAGGAGCUCCAGGCGAAGGACUUCCUGGGCCAAAGGUGAGCAGCUUUAGUUGUUGUAGGAACAUUUUAUAAUCUAAAGAACUUUUUUUCCACUAUAAAGAACCUUUUGACGAAUGGAAAGCUUCCAUGGAGGUUAAAGGUUCUUCAUGAACCAUAGAUGCCAAUAAAGAGCAUUUAUGCCUAAGAGUUUGAAAAAUCAUCUCAGUUCAGUUCAGACCUUUAUAAUGGUCGUGUAAACAAAGACACUGAAAUAUCACUUUUGAAUCUGUUAUUGUGUUUGUGUCUUAGGGUGACCACGGCUAUAUCGGCCCUACAGGUAGACGUGGACCCCCAGGUUAUGGAAUUAAAGGUGAAAAGGUAUGUUGCAGUUGCGUGAGACUAUUAGAAGUCUAUGUAAAAGUCUAUUAUGAAUUUAAUUUAGCUGUUAAAUCCAUUCUUGUAGGGCAAUGCGGGACCUCCUGGAUCACCGGGACUAUUAGGAAUGCCUGGCAGGGGCAUUCAAGGAGAGAAAGUAUUUGUUAUUUUUCAGUUUUUUUUCUUUUGAUUCCAAUAUUGUUGUACUAGUGCUGCUACAGUAGCUGAGACCAGCUACACUAGUACUAGUGCUCAUACAUAGGGUCAAUAAUCAUUAAACCCAUAACUCAAAAUCACAAGCAUGGUUUGUGCUACAGACACUAAUGAUACCUCAAAUCAUGCAGCUUGCUGGAAGAAGUGUGCUAUUACUUUUCUAAAUGAAUGGAAAUACUUGCAACCACUUGAAAUAUCCUAGAAGACCCUAGCAACCAUUACAAAGGUCUGACCAACCACCAGAAGACCCAAGCAACCAUUUAUUUUCACCUUUAUCUUUAUAUCUAAAGGGGAAUCAGGGACCAGCCGGUCCUUCUGGUCAAAGAGGGAAUCCUGGGAUAGGACUCGCUGGACCAAAGGUAUAACUGCGCCAUAAAAACUGCUAUCUAUCUAUCUAUCUAUCUAUCUAUCUAUCUAUCUAUCUAUCUAUCUAUCUAUCUAUCUAUCUAUCUAUCUAUAAACAAUGUGUUUUCGUUUUGUUUCCUCUCAGGGAGAACAGGGCUUCCCUGGAGAUCUUGGAGCCCCUGGAGAAAGAGGUAUUGGAGAACCAGGACCUAAAGUGAGUUGUUGUUUCAACUAAAUUGUAACAUGGCAUGAAAGAACAGAAUAAAGUAUCAAAUAGUGAAAUCAGAGUUGUGUUUAUGGCUGAUGCUGUAGGGUGAAUCUGGAUUGCGAGGUUUACCAGGUGGACCAGGUGUACCGGGAGAAGAUGGAGCCAUUGGAUCAAAGGUCAGAAUGCUCUUACUGGCAAGUUAGUGAGAGAUAGCUUUAUAUCAGAAACAUUCAAUGUCUUUGAAUAUGCUGUAAGAUAUCUCAUUUAUUUUAGGGUGAUAUAGGCUUACCGGGACCCAAGGGACAAGACGGACCUCCAGGAAGAGGCCUGCCAGGAGAGAAAGUAAUGUGUAUAUGGAUGUGCUUUAUUGAUUUGUCAAAGAAAACUGAAGAUUAUACCAUUAUUGUAUAUGUAUAUAUACAGUGGGUAUAGAAAAGAAUCACCUUCUUUAAAAUAAUCACAUUUUGUUGCUUUGCAGCCUGAAAUGAACAUGGACACAGUUUUUAUCCAGCUGUAUUUACCCAGUGCAACUUAUAACAUCCAAGUGAAAGAUAAAACACCAACAAGUCAGAAAAAAAAACAACAACAACAAAAAACAGAAUCACUGAGUUGGAAAAAGUAUCAUUUGACCAUUUGACAAGAAAUGCAAAAAAAGAAAAAGAAAAAAAGAAAGAAACACUGUGUCCAUCCUCAUUUCAGGUUGCAAAGCAACAAAAUGUGAUUAUUUUAAAGGGGGAGAUUUUUCAGUACCCACUGU